rnacentral:rRNA from 1 species
UACACUCCUGCGGAGGCAGCAGUGGGGAAUUUUGGACAAUGGGCGAAAGCCUGAUCCAGCAAUGCCGCGUGCAGGAUGAAGGCCUUCGGGUUGUAAACUGCUUUUGUACGGAACGAAAAAGCUCCUUCUAAUACAGGGGGCCCAUGACGGUACCGUAAGAAUAAGCACCGGCUAACUACGUGCCAGCAGCCGCGGUAAUACGUAGGGUGCGAGCGUUAAUCGGAAUUACUGGGCGUAAAGCGUGCGCAGGCGGUUAUGUAAGACAGAUGUGAAAUCCCCGGGCUCAACCUGGGAACUGCAUUUGUGACUGCAUGGCUAGAGUACGGUAGAGGGGGAUGGAAUUCCGCGUGUAGCAGUGAAAUGCGUAGAUAUGCGGAGGAACACCGAUGGCGAAGGCAAUCCCCUGGACCUGUACUGACGCUCAUGCACGAAAGCGUGGGGAGCAAACAGGAUUAGAUACCCCAGUAGUCCCAUGAU